rnacentral:other from 1 species
UUUGCCCUGCGAUGCCCGUGAUGUGGAUACCAUUCUUUCUGCCGAUUCAUACUAUUAAGGGAACACCAGCGCGCCCGGAAUAAAGCCAUGCCUUCACUGGAAGGCGGUUAAACUGGCCGCCGUUCCCCCCUUGUACCAAGGGUCGAAAGAACCUUCCCCACGACAUCUGCGGGGCAAUC